UAUCCUCUAACCAAACAUAGCCAUAGUAUUAAACUCUAUACUAAAGGAGAAACCAAACGACGUCCCUUCGUCGAGCAACGUCAUUUUUUCAUACGAGUUUUUUCUCUCUCACAUGGCAUCUCUUCCCUUUCACAUGGUCCCACAUGGACUCUAUAUCCAUAGGCCAUGUACUUGCCUAUUUUACAUCCCCUCUUUUUUCCCUCUCUCUACAUUUCUUUCUAUUUCAACACACACGCACACAUGGGCUCACAU
rnacentral:lncRNA from 1 species